UUUGCAACACUACAAAAUUAAAGACUCUACGUCUCUACCACAAUUUCACUCAAAACAAUACAAGGGAGGAAGCGCAGAUAGCUAGCAGCAGUGAAAGUGAUCGUGCAGAGAGAGUGAGAGAUGGAGGUUCCCGGUUCAUCGAAGAAGAUGAUAGCGACGCAGGAGGAGAUGGUGGAAGCGAAGGUUCCCCUUGCAUACAGGGACCAGUGCGCACACCUCCUCAUCCCUCUCAACAAGUGCCGCCAGGCCGAGCUCUACCUUCCAUGGAAGUGCGAGAACGAACGUCACUCCUACGAGAAGUGCCAGUACGAGCUCCUCAUGGAGCGCAUGCUUCAGAUGCAGAAGAUCAAGGAACGAGCCUCCCUUAAUCACCCCCAAUCCAAGGGCAUCGCCUUUCCCGUCAUCCCUAAAACCGCCAAUGCCUGAUUCAUUCCAGGAACCUUUGCUUGGGUGGGAGUUCCUUCAUGUUUUUCAGUUGUGUGAAGUCGAAAUUACCUUGGAUUGUUUGUCCAGAGACUACCAAAGACUGUUUAUACUUUAAUUCUCGCAAUUUCUCAUCAUGGACACAUGUUUUUACUUGAAAGUAAUAAAUUUUUCUUAACUUUUCAUAAGUGGAGAUAUGGUUGGUUUGCCACUUCUAUUCCCUGACCAAUCAUCACAUAUGUUUGAAAUAUUUUUGUUAAGGUGAAUUCUAUGGUGUAGAAAUAAUUUUUUUCUACACAUGAGGAAACUAACGUGGCAUAGAUUUAGGAGUGAUAUCUAUCUCUUGCUAUUAUUGCUUUGAUCAGAUGUGACAAGAUCAAUGUUCUGAAAACCGGUUCGAACCGGACGGUCGAACCGGUCGAACCGCAAACCGCUAUCAAUUACGGUUCGGACAGAAGGCAAAACCAACAAAUUUGAAAACCGCCAUUGGAUUGUUGAACCGGCCGGAAACCGGUCGGUCGAACCGAACCGUGACCCGGCCGGUUUUUGAAUCUAAACAAAAACGAUGCGUCUUGUUGUGCAGGGAUGGCAACCCUAAGUUCCCUAACCCCUCUUCCUUCUAAGUUCCCUAACCCCUCUUCCUUCUAGUCUCCAGGACAACGCGAAGCAGCAGUCCAGAGUCCAGAAUGUAGCCCCAAUUCGUCUCAACCUCAUCGAAGCCGCCGGCGCAUGUCCGUCCAGCCACCGCCGCCGUCCCAACUUCGAGCUUCGAAGGCAACGGCGCAACGUCCGUCCAGCCACCGCCGUUUGAGCUUCGAAAAUCGAAGCCACCGUCGCCGGUCUCGCCUCUUGCCUCCGUCGCGCAGCCACUUCCCGCCGGUGCCAGCUCUGUUCCACACCACCACGUCAGCCACUGUCUUCCCAGCCACUGUCCCCAGCCACUUCCACACCCUCGCCAGCUCUGCCCUGUUCCAGCCUUCCAGGAUCCAGCUUCUAGCCUAGCUGUCAUUGGAGCCAUUCACACAACCACUUUGGCCAAGCUCUCUGCUAAAAGGCAAGAAGUUCUUUCUCCAGCAGGCAACAUUGUUGAACAGGGAACUGGAUAAUAUAAAGAUAAAGAGUGCUAUAAGAUGUUUCAAGAUUUUGAGUUAAUAUACCAAUGAAUUAUCAACUCAAUCUGCUAGAGACGCUAGGGCAGCUCUUUGGGCCUAAUACAACUCUCUUUUUGGCUGGCGAGCUUCGAAAUGAUGCCAUUCUUGAGUACUUCCUAGAAGCUGCAAUGAACAAUUUCAGAAUUGGUCGCAUUGAUCAAAAUCUGUGGCAUCCUGAUUAUCGCAGCAACCGAGUUGUUCUUUAUGUUCUUGUGAAGAAAUGAAGGUUUCAGAAUUAAUGAAACUAUGUGUUACUUUAUAGUUUAUACUCUACUAGAGUGUGACCUUCCUAACGCUAGGAUUCAUUGUAAAAGUUAUUCUCCUUCCAUGUAUUAUUUUUUGAUAUCAUGCUCAUUUUGAGAAGCCUAACAAUUUUGUUUUGACAGAUAAAAGUGGACUAUGAUCUGGGAACCAUUUUCAGUGAAUUCAUUCACAACCACUGUUAAGAAGACACAAUAUUGUAAUGCUUGAUGGAACAACUAAAACUCCAA